CCUACGGGGGGCUGCAGUGGGGAAUAUUGGACAAUGGGCGAAAGCCUGAUCCAGCCAUGCCGCGUGUGUGAAGAAGGCCUUCGGGUUGUAAAGCACUUUCAGUGGGGAAGAAAGCCUUGGGGCUAAUACCCUCGAGGAAGGACAUCACCCACAGAAGAAGCACCGGCUAACUCCGUGCCAGCAGCCGCGGUAAUACGGAGGGUGCGAGCGUUAAUCGGAAUUACUGGGCGUAAAGCGCGCGUAGGCGGUCUGAUAAGCCGGUUGUGAAAGCCCCGGGCUCAACCUGGGAACGGCAUCCGGAACUGUCAGGAUAGAGUGCAGGAGAGGAAGGUAGAAUUCCCGGUGUAGCGGUGAAAUGCGUAGAGAUCGGGAGGAAUACCAGUGGCGAAGGCGGCCUUCUGGACUGACACUGACGCUGAGGUGCGAAAGCGUGGGUAGCAAACAGGAUUAGAUACCCCGGUAGUC
rnacentral:rRNA from 1 species